rnacentral:lncRNA from 1 species
GUCUUGAUGACCUCUGUCCGUGCUUCUCUGGUCUUUGAGGUAUUUCUCACUUCCAGUUCCAGGAAGGGAACAGGUUUUAUUUCGACAAGAAAUGGAGAUGUUGGUAUGCAGAAGCAUCCUACCCUGCCGUGGGAUACUGCUGGGAAGGAGGCACUGGAGAUGGCUCUGAAAGAUCCAAAGCCUUUUGAAUGUCUCUGUACAAAUGUCAAUUAUGUGAUGAAAUGGUGAGACUUGUGAUGUGCUUUAGCCAGAUCAUUUCUCUUUAUGCAGCAUGCUCCAUCCAGAAUGAAGGAAUGGGAUGCCAU